rnacentral:rRNA from 1 species
UGAGUGCUAGUGUUGGAGGGUUUCCGCCCUUCAGUGCUGCAGCAAACGCAUUAAGCACUCCGCCUGGGGAGUACGACCGCAAGGUUGAAACUCAAAGGAAUUGACGGGGGCCCGCACAAGCGGUGGAGCAUGUGGUUUAAUUCGAAGCAACGCGAAGAACCUUACCAGGUCUUGACAUCCUUUGACCACUCUAGAGAUAGAGCUUCCCCUUCGGGGGCAAAGUGACAGGUGGUGCAUGGUUGUCGUCAGCUCGUGUCGUGAGAUGUUGGGUUAAGUCCCGCAACGAGCGCAACCCUUAUUGUUAGUUGCCAUCAUUUAGUUGGGCACUCUAGCGAGACUGCCGGUGACAAACCGGAGGAAGGUGGGGAUGACGUCAAAUCAUCAUGCCCCUUAUGACCUGGGCUACACACGUGCUACAAUGGGAAGUACAACGAGUUGCGAAGUCGCGAGGCUAAGCUAAUCUCUUAAAGCUUCUCUCAGUUCGGAUUGUAGGCUGCAACUCGCCUACAUGAAGCCGGAAUCGCUAGUAAUCGCGGAUCAGCACGCCGCGGUGAAUACGUUCCCGGGCCUUGUACACACCGCCCGUCACACCACGAGAGUUUGUAACACCCGAAGUCGGUGAGGUAACCUUUUUGGAGCCAGCCGCCUAAGGUGGGAUAGAUGAUUGGGGUGAAGUCGUAC